rnacentral:rRNA from 1 species
UAUAGUUUAUUUGAUAGUGCAACCUACUCGGAUAACCGUAGUAACACUAGAGCUAAUACGUGCGUAAAUCCCGACUUUUUGAAGGGACGUAUUUAUUAGAUUUAUGGCCAGCCGGGCUUGCCCGACCAGCGGUGAAUCAUGGUAACUUGACGGAUUGCAUGGCCUUCGUGCCGGCGACGUGUCAUUCAAGUUUCUGCCCCAUCAGGUUUCGACUGUAGUGUAUUGGACUACAGUGCCUAUAACGGGUAGCGGAGGAUUAGGGUUCGAUUCCGGAGAGGGAGCCUGAGAAACGGCUACCACAUCCAAGGAAGGCAGCAGGCGCGCAAAUUACCCAAUCCCAAUUCAGGGAGGUAGUGACAAGAAAUAGCAAUGCGGGGCGGAUUCGCUCUGCAAUUGGAAUGAGAACAAUGUAAACCACUUAACGAGUAUCAAUUGGAGGGCAAGUCUGGUGCCAGCAGCCGCGGUAAUUCCAGCUCCAAUAGCGUAUAUGUAAGUUGUUGCGAUUAAAAAG